GACUCCACGGACACCACUUGAAUCCACGAGCACCAACGAUUUGAAUUCACGAAUCGUCUUGAUUACAUCGAAUUCAUGAUGCCUGUCACACCCCAAUAAUCUCAUAUCGGAUAUGAAUGGGAAUGUGAUUGGAUAUAUAAGAGACUUGACACUAGUAAUAAUAACUGGGCUUAAGCAUUUUGGGCAGGUGGCUGGGCCCAACGAGUUAUUAUUGCUAGUGAGCUAGGUCGUUACAAUGCCACUCACAAAGAGUAAUGUUUCCAUGGUGAUCCUUUGCUU
rnacentral:lncRNA from 1 species